GAGCCACGUACCGUUGUUAGACAAAGUAGUGGUAAUUAAAGGCGUUGGUCAUUUUCUCCAUGAGGAAAGGCCUGACGAGAUAAGUAAACACAUCCACGACUAUUUCCUCACGUUUUAGACCCAUUGUGUUACGUGGCCCAUUUAGCUGAGUGGCAAUUUGAUUAAUGGGCUAGAGUAUGUGGGCUGGGUUUAACCUAAUCUAAGCAUUCGUAUAAAAGGAGAGGUUAGAGUUAGAGAGAGCUUUAUCUAGAAAUUAGAUCACUCAUGUUCAUGGAGAGGUGAGAGUACUCUCAAGCAAUUCUCUCAAGUUUGUAAACACUUUUAUUAUCUAUAAGAUCAGUAUUUCUAUUGUUCAAUCACUGUGUUACCGGAUUCGAUACGUUUCACGUAUCAACUUGGUAUCAGAGCACAGUUACGAGCCAUGGGGACUAUUGAUGUACCAAUCUUCUACGGUGAAGGUGAUGAUCUGAUGGAGUGGAUGUGUUGGAUCAACGAUUUUGCUUAUGAUCAGAGCUUUACCGAUUACGAAACCCUCCAGUUUGCUUAUAGCUUCAUAGAGGGUGACGCUUUACGUUGGUAUCGUGACGAAAGUUCGCGAUCUGUGUUUAGAAGCUGGGCUAACCUUAAGUACAGACUGGUGAUGCGAUUCUGUAAACGGCCGACGCAGCUUGAGGUGACUAACCUCCAGGAACGGCUAAGGCAGAUCAGUCGUAUGUUGGACCGCUGGGAUGAAGAAGAUGAGGCGAAGAAACAACAGGAAGAAGAGAUGAUGGCUGUUGGAGAUUCGAAUCAGACUCUGAGCUCUGUCGAAGGAUCUGUAAAGAGUUUUGAGUCGGCUCCACCAGUGACUGUAUCGGAAGAGGGAGAAGAAGUUCUGCCGGAGAUGAUAACAGAGGAGGAUCCAUUGACAGAGAAAAUGGAAACCGCUUGGGUUGAACCAGAAAUGGCAGGAGUUGUGAGGUUCUGUGAGAAAACAAGAAGAGGAGACGAUCCAAUCGAAUUGGUGGGGAAGUUGUUUCAGACAUUUCCUUUUGCUGAAUGGAGAAGCGAGACUAGGAAGAAAAAGAAACGAUGGAAGGCAUCUAUGAAGUUGCAGGGAAGCUUAGAGGAAGAACUGAGUGAGCAAAAAGUGUCUAAUGACGUUAAGGUUGAGCAUGAUCACAAGGUGUUCGAUCAAAUUACUGUGAGAAGAAAUGGAUAUUUGAUGAAGAAAAAGACGAGAUGGAAGGCAUCUCUUGAGGGUCAUAGGCCUUUAGGGAAAAGUCUGGGUGGUGAUAAGAAGAGCAAGUCUGUGUGUCAGGAAGUUGUUAAACUUCAGCUGAGAUACAAGAAAAGAAAGAGAAUCAAGCAGGAGUUGGUGUUUGCACAGCUGAGAUGUGAAGGAAAUAAGACAGCAAGGUGGCAGAAACAUAAAUUCAAGCAGAAGAAAAAAGUUAGAGAGGGUUUCUCUAAGAAUCAGUUGCAAGGCACGAUGAUGAUGAUGUUAGCUGCGAAGCUGAAAAAGAAACCGAAAUUGGAAUAUCAGUCUGUGGUUUAUCGGAGGCUGCUUUUGCUUGUUACAGCAGUAUGGACAGAAGCUUUGACAGAAGGGAAGAAGGGAAAGAACAGAUACAAGUACCUGAACUGUCAGACUUCUUGGAAACAAAUAAAACAGCAGGGGAAGAGGGCUAAGAUCCGGGAAAAGCACAUCAAAAGUAAAUGGAAGCUUCGUGUGAAUAGGGAAGGGAAGCGUGAUGAGUUGUUCCUUCAAUUGUUAUUGUCAACGGUUCGAACAAAAAGGGAGUAUAAGCAUGUACUGGAGGCUGGAGAGCUGUUGCAGGGACGAAAGAGAGCACUGAAGAAGCUUGCAAAUAGGAUGAGACAUAAGCUAGUUUGGAGGAAGAUGGAAAAGAGGGUAAAACAUAAGUUCAAGCAGAAGGAGCCCAAGGAAUUGAUCAUGCUAGAGGGUCCAGUGAUGUUGUUAACUGCUAAUGCGAGAAAGAGAUCAACGUCAAAAGGAAAACAUGUGGGUAUUGUGAAGAAUUUUGUUCUUUUGGGGAUCAUUUGGGCGAGAGUCAAUACCAAAUGGAGAAAAGCAAAAGUCAAGCACAAAUUUCAGAACAUGCACAAGACAAAGGCCAAAGCGCAGGUGAUUCAGAUUGUCUUGUUUGAAUGGGUGCAGCUGAUGGGAAUGGCGAUUCUUAAUAGGAAGAAGAUAACAAUGGAGCAGAUUGAUAACACUUAUAGGGAGUCUCAGAGAAGGCCCUUAAGGUAUCAGGUGGUGAAAAGAAAGAAGAACGAGAAGCAUGAUAAAGAUAGAAGGUGGAAGUACAAACCUUUAAAAGGAAAUCAUCUCAAGUUACAGUCUCGGAUGAGAAGAAACCUCAAAUAUCAUAGUUUGGGAAGAAUAGAAGACAUCAAAAGAUUAAAGUAUGGCUGUGUUGAGCAGGAAGAGCUGUUGCUAUGGGAAAUUGGGAAGAAGGAAAGUAAGUCACAAGAGAAGACCAAAGCAAGAAGUUACCAAGUAAUUUAUGUUGAUAUACCUACGGUGAUAUCAAUUGAGAAGAGGAGUACAGAGGUGAAGAUCGCUAUAUACCUGCGGUUAUGGACAAGAGCUACAAGAGAAAGCAAAAUGAUUCAGUACUUCUGUUUUGCUUUGAUGUGUAUUUGUGAAAACCAGAUCAGAGAUAGAGCAAAGUCGUUGCUUACGGGUGUGGUUUAUGAGAAGCUUCUCUUAGUUGUUGGGUUGAAGCUAAACUGUCGCCAAGUGGCUGUGAUGAAAAUUCAAUGGCUGCGAAGAACAGGAAGCAGUGUGCAAUGGCAGAAGAAACCAAAAGAAGUUUAUGCAAUGAAGAUUGUAGACAAGGCUCUCUACUUCACUCAGGAAAUGUACCAAUCUCCAAGGCCACCUGAGCGGAAUCAAAAGGAAGUUUGUUGUAGUGGAUGUCGACAGGAGCUAGUUCAAGUUAAGAGGCUGUGCUGCUUAUACAACCUUGAGGAGAUCAACUUCCCACAUGAUCCAGGAGAUACUCUUAAGGAGAAAGGGGUUAAGUCAAUCAUGGCUGUGUAUAUAGGGCUAUACCAAAACUGGAGAAGCGAUAGGAGAAUGAUCAAGAAGGACACAGCUGGGCAACCCGGUAAACUGUAUGAACGUGCUAUCAGCCAUGUGCGAGGCCCUGAACAGAUAGGCUUACAAUCACUCUCUAAAGAUACCCAUUUCUUCUCUACGGGACACAGCUAUAGCAUCAUCAACAACCUUGAGGACAAGGUUAUUUUUAAAGGGCGGGGUAAUGUUACGUGGCCCAUUUAUGUGAGAGGGCAAUUAGAUUAAUGGGCUAGAGUAUGUGGGCUUGGUCAUAAGUCUUUACCCUAAUCUAGUAGUAACUAGUAUAUAGGGAGGUCUAAGAAUUAGAGAGAAGGAUCUAGAGAUUAGAUCAUUCAUGUUCAUGGAGAGGGGAAGUUUCUCUCGCUUAUGGUACCUAUGUGUAGCAAUAACUUGGUGUAUUGGAAAAGAAAUCAGCAGAGGAAGGUAGGCAAACACGAGCAGGAGUUGGUUGAGCUGUUAUGGGGAGAUAAGACAUGUUUGAAAAAGUGUGAGAAAUGGAUGAAGCACAAGUUCAAACAGAAUCAGGACAAGUACAAGAAGAGGAUGCGAGAUCUGCUCAAGGCAGGCUACUGUGAUUUGCUCAGUCAUUCUCUAUUCUUAUGGAUAUCAAUCUCAGUUUUAUCAAGGGCUAACACUUCAUCACAAGCGUGUGAUAUUCAUGGAAAUUACCUGCGAGGAGUUAACAUCAUUCCUGAUAGCGACAUAGCUAAGAUUGUGAAGCGGCAAGACGUUUACAAGAAUACAUCAGUACCAUUUUCAACCGAUACCCAUGGGAUGUACCACUUACAAAGACCACCAGAGCAGUUUGCAGGAUCGUGGAGUGCAGAACAGAGGAGUGUUGUGAGCUCGAACGUGGGCAAAAGGGCUGUAACAGUUGGAUCAUAUGACCAGAUGGAUCUGAAGCUUAAACAGUGGUGGGCAGAGUUAACAAACAUCUUAUAUACUGUCGAGCACAACUCAAGCACGGUUCAAUGGCAGAAGGAACCUGCUCUUUAUCUGUUUUUUCCAAAAGAUGUAUACGUAGUCGAAGUUGUAGACGAGACUCUUUACUUCACUCAGGAAACGUUCCCGUCUCCAAGGCCACCUGAGUUGUACCAAGAUGAGAGCUUGUGUUGCUUCUUCAACCGUGAGGAGAUCAAUUUCCCACAUGACCCAGGAGAGACAUUUCAGAAGAAAGGGGUUAAGUCAAUCAUGGCUGUGGAUAUCUUGCUGGGGAUAAACCAAAACUGGAGCAGCGAUAGGAGAAUGAUCAAGAAGGACACAGCGGGACAACCCGUGAAACUUUCUGAACCUGCCAUCGGUCAAGGACGAGACACUGCACAGAUAGGCGCACGACCACACUCUACAGAAUUGAAAGGGAACCUAGAGCUGCAAAUGAUCAUUGACUUUACGAAGAACCUGGAUGUGUCUCACUUAGAAUUCUCCAUCAUGCAGGAGGAAUGGUCUGACCAGUCCCAACAGGCUCAGUACCUUGAGGCGUUAGAAACCGGCAGGUGGUCAGUGGAAAGCUUUAGCCAGAGGAAAAGCACUCAACAAAAACAAGGCCUAAGAACAUCAACAACCUUGAGGACAAGGUUAUUUUUAAAGAGCGGGGUAAUGUUACGUGGCCCAUUUAGCUGAGUGGCAAUUUGAUUAAUGGGCUAGAGUAUGUGGGCUGGGUUUAACCUAAUCUAAGCAUUCGUAUAAAAGGAGAGGUUAGAGUUAGAGAGAGCUUUAUCUAGAAAUUAGAUCACUCAUGUUCAUGGAGAGGUGAGAGUACUCUCAAGCAAUUCUCUCAAGUUUGUAAACACUUUUAUUAUCUAUAAGAUCAGUAUUUCUAUUGUUCAA